ensembl:lncRNA
GGGGACCAGACUGGACCAGACCAACAUGUCCCUCAGACCAGGUCUCUAUAGAGGGGACCAGACUGGACCAGACCAACAUGUCCCUCAGACCUGGUCCCUAUAGAGGGGACGAGACUGGACCAGACUGGACCAGACCAACAUGUCCCUCUGACCAGGUCCCUAUAGAGGGGGACCAGACUGGACCAGACCAACAUGUCCCUCUGACCAGGUCUCUAUAGAGGGGGACCAGACUGGACCAGACCAACAUGUCCCUCUGACCAGGUCCCUAUAGAGCGGACCAGACUGGACCAGACCAACAUGUCCCUCUGACCAGGUCCCUAUAGAGCGGACCUGACUGGACCGGACCAGCAUGUCCCUCUGACCAGGUCCCUAUAGAGCGGACCAGACUGGACCAGACCAACAUGUUCCUCUGACCAGGUCCCUAUAGAGCGGACCAGACUGGACCAGACCAACAUGUUCCUCUGACCAGGUCCCUAUAGAGCGGACCAGACUGGACCGGACCAGCAUGUUCCUCUGAACAUGGAGGAUGUGUGUUUUUACAAGUCUGAUGGUAAUCUGUGAUAAAGAUGUCACAUGGAUCGAUCAAUCAAAAAGGACUACAGCAGUGUCAUAAUGACUGAUGCUUGGUUUACCAAUGACCACUGAUGGUGGUCCUGGCAAUGCUAAUCAGGUGUUCAAUGUUUGGGAUUCCACAUGGACCAGGAAGAAGAAAUGAACUGACUGAACACAGGCAGGAACAGCAUGCCCCAUUCCCUUUGGAUUAGGGAGAAUUCUGGGAAACGAUCAAUGAAAGACAUGGAAUCUGGAGCUUAGCUCUGUCAAAGUCAAUUUAUGAAUACUUGAUCCACAGUAUGUUACAAAUAAGAUACAUUUUGCACAUGAAUGUUACGAAAUAUUGUUGCUUGUAUUUUUGUAUAACAUAACUUUAUAUAACAUAACUAAAAUAAAAUGGAAAGAAUGUGAUUUAGUAAAAAUGUAAAAUUCUGUAUAUGUUGCUUUACACAAUAACAUACCUUAAUGAAAUUACAGUGUAACAUUUACCAGAUUAGAUCAUCUUUAAAUCUAGAGACUACAUUUACCAGAGGUAUUAUCUCUUUAAAUCUAGAGACUACAUUUACCAGAGGUAUUAUCUCUUUAAAUCUAGAGACUACAUUUACCAGAUGUAUUAUCUCUUUAAAUCUAGAGACUACAUUUACCAGAGGUAUUAUCUCUUUAAAUCUAGAGACUACAUUUACCAGAUGUAUUAUCUCUUUAAAUCUAGAAACUACAUUUACCAGAGGUAUUAUCUCUUUAAAUCUAGAGACUACAUUUACCAGAUGUAUUAUCUCUUUAAAUCUAGAGACUACAUUUAUCAGUAACAUUGCAGAACACCCAUGUCUUUGAUCAUAUGGUGCGCAUCAUAACCCUUAUAUGGAUCCUAGCAUGUGAGGCUGACACACAACACCAGGCUUUGUACUGGCCCUGUUUCUGCGUCAUGUUCUGAAGAGGUUUUAUCACAUCUGAUCUUAGAACUGGAAAUCUGACAAACAAGCACUAAGAUGGAAUGUGACAUUUAAUUAUACAUAAAAAUAUGCAAUGUCUGGUCAGUUAUAUGCAAAAAUGAUCAUUGCCAUAAAGUUGUGAGAGAUAAGGGAUAUUAUGACUUCCUAUGUCAGCAACAUAAAGGUUGACCUAAGGAAUGAACCUUCUUAUCAUGUUUUAUUGAUAUCUAAUGAAUAUGUCAAGAAACCACAGAAUGUUGCAUUAUUUAUAACCAAGUAAUAACUGUUCCUAUGAAC